CCCCAAUAGUGGCUUCUCCUUAAAUUCCUUCAUAACAGUCUCUCACUCUUAAUUGUCGUACUUGCUUGCUCUUCGUCCUCUAUUUUUUAGUACUUUUCUUUUCAAAAUUGCCACAAAGAAGUUGUUUCUCUCAAUUCUCAAGUUCUAAGAUGUCAGAGACAAGCCUAAGGCUUUGAAAACAGUCUCUAUUGUUCCAGGUAUUGAAAUAGUUAAAUUUUUCUUCGUUUUUCACCAAUCAAGAUUUCAUUCUUAAUUGAUACAAAACCACAAUGCUUCAGCUCCAAUUUACGUGCUUUUCUUUUUAGCCAUAUGAGUUUGUGAAAAAAUUAGUUAUAGCAUGAUUAUUAUCACUAAUAAUUUAUUAUACAAACUUUCCAGUUGUCCCCAUUUAGCUAUUCUUGAAUCAUUUUUCGUUAGUAUACCUCCAACCUAGUGGCGAAACUAGGAAUUUUUUCAGGGGUAUUCAAAUUUAAAAGAAGUGGAAAAAAUUCUUUAUAAAGGUUCAAUAUAUGUUAUAUACCUCUAAACAUAAUAUUUUACCUAAAUACACAUUGUAAUUUUUCGGCGAAAGGUGGUCAAUUGAUGACAUUAUGACUAUGUGGCUUCGCCACUGAUCCAACCUGUCAUAUAUCGUCUAUAUUUUGUAAACCUUGCUGUAUAGUCAAUCUAGAGCAUUGAUUGACUGAAUGGUAAUCCACUAAUAGUUUGUUAAUCAAUCAUUUGUAGAAUAUUCUGUGAAUUUGAGUCAGUAUCUGUUAAUGUUAUGUGAAAUUGAAGUCACAUUUAGUUUUCUAUCUCCAGGCAAUAACCCGUAGGAAAAAAAAAACUUGAGAAUGAAAACAAACUCGGAGAAGAAGUAUAUCACUGGCAAUUUAUUAUUCUAAUUCUCCCGGUGUCCCCAUUUAGCUAUCCUUGGAGCAUUUUUCAUAAGAAGCAGAAGACAACACUGAGAAAAGUGUAUAACUACAAGAAGUACUUUGAAGACCAGGGCCAUUCGUAGACGUUUUACCAAACAUCAGUCAUCUUUGAAGACAGAAAGGGAAAAUCACUUACAGAGCAAAGCAGAGGAUCAUAUUUUGCCAUUUUGCAAUGUUAUAUUUUGUAUUACUACUAUUAAUGCAUUGAAAACUUAGAGUUGAAAAAUAAAUUUUAAAAAAACAUUCCAACUGCAAAAGGUGCUACAAAAACAGGAUAAAUGGUAGGGACUUAAGUUUUUAAUCUAACCAAUAGGUUGGGUGAAUUCUU